UACGAAGGGGGCUAGCGUUGUUCGGAAUUACUGGGCGUAAAGGGCGCGUAGGCGGCCUGCUAAGUCGAACGUGAAAUCCCCGGGCUCAACCCGGGAACUGCGUCCGAUACUGGCAGGCUUGAAUUCGGGAGAGGGAUGCGGAAUUCCAGGUGUAGCGGUGAAAUGCGUAGAUAUCUGGAGGAACACCGGUGGCGAAGGCGGCAUCCUGGACCGAAAUUGACGCUGAGGCGCGAAAGCCAGGGGAGCAAACGGG
rnacentral:rRNA from 1 species